rnacentral:lncRNA from 9 species
GAGAAGGAGAAGAGCAUAAAGCAGAUCAAUAGAAAGAAGGCAGAAAAUGGAGAAACAGGAAGAAGGAGACUGAGUUGGGGGAGUACUGGGAGAGCAAUGGAUUUGAGGAAAAGAUGAAGAUGAUAAGAUUAUGUGUGAUGAACCCAAGACUUAUGAAGUUACUGUGAUCAAAAAUAAAGUCAUUUGAACUCUGAUAGAGAAAAGAUACAUUUAAACGUGAGUUUUGAAUUGUUAUAAAAAUCAUAAAAUAACAGAUCUUUCAACCAGAUGUUUAAUUUUAAAAU